CUUACAAUAAUCUAGACGAAUCCAAUAAUCUAGACUAAAAGCAAAAAUUUAAUAUUCUGAUUUGAAAUUGUCUAAAAUUCUUUUUCCCCAAAUUUAAUUUGCAAAGCAAACAUGAAGAAAAGCUACAGAAACUGGUGUAUGUAUGUGCGUAACUCCCAACUCUCAUUCUCAAUUCUUUAUGGCUGUCGAGGUAUCCCUUUGCAGUUUUCUCUCAACGGUAGGAGUCGGGUCCUCUAUGGCUGCUGAGGUAUCCCAUCGAAGUUUUCUCCCGGCGGCACCGAGAGUGGGCGGGUGUCGAGUCCUGCAAAUUGCAACCAUUGGCUUCACCUUGUUCGUACAUAACUCCAAUGAAAUUGCAAUCAAAGCAAAACCACGACAAGCAUCACUAAUAACAAUUAAACACAAUGCAAUCCAACUAAAACAUAGGUGUAUGCAUGUGACGCUCCCAUCAAUAAUCAUGAGAAAAACAAGGUAAACAAUUUCUUUUGGUUAGACAUAUUGUUGGUCUAUCUGCUGGUCUAUAGCUUAGCUCGUAUCUCUUGUUAGUUGGUACGUCUUCUACUACUUGGUUAUUCUAUUAGUUCUUAAAUUGAGGGGAAGUUUAGUUUGCAUUAGGGGACGGGGGCCUUCUGCCUUAACUAUUGUUGUUUAAACUAUUUGUUUUGAGUUAGUUUUUGCUGUUGUUUAUUCAUGCGUUGAGCAGGCUUUUGAGCAUCUUGUUUUGUCUACAUAAAUGACAAAUUGGGAGAUUGUUAAAAUAUAGAUUAUACUCUUAGGUAUUUGUCAUUAUGUAGACUGUAUCUUCUCUGUUUGAUACUUCUUCAAAUACUAGUACCAGAAAAUGUUCUAGCUUGUCUGAUACUUGCAGAGUCUCCUUAUCUGCACAGAAUUUGUAAGAAGAUAUACUUCAUAGUUUAUUAUAUUCGUAAAGACUCCUGAACAAAAAGAAUUCCAAUCUCUUUAUUAUUAAAGGUAUAAUAUGUUAAAAUUAUUGUUGGUUCUGUUUAUGGUUAUCUUCAAAUAGAUGUGUAUCAUUCUUACAAUAAGAGCUUGGCUAGGGUUUUGCAAGACAACCUUCUAUACAAAGACAAUGUGAAGAACGUUUGAGAGAUGUCACUUUUAUAUACUUUUGAGUGUUUAAAGUAUUUUGAAUUGUUAUGUAAGAUUAUACGGUGUUUAUAAGUGUGAUUGUGUUUCGAAGCUUCUCAUUGUGUGAGAUAAUAUUUGUUUUGUUCUUGCAUAAUAUAUUCGUUUACUUUGUUAAGGGAUUAGUGAAGAUUUUUUGAGCGAUUAUUUGGUGAAUGGAUUGAGUUCACACCCAGGUUAAUUAUAAGUUGCGGACUUGCUUCCAAUUUUCCACCGUGGGUGAAGCUUUGGGAAGGUAUAUGGGCCUAGUAAGAGAGACUAAGAGAGUCUUAUUGUGUAAGUCCAUGUGUAUCUUAACUUCAAUUAGUGGAGGCCCCCAUAGUAGGUGUGUUAACCGAACUGGUAACUAAUUUCUGAGCAGUGUUCUUUAUUGUUUUAAUACUUUACUUGACAUUAGUAUAACUAACCAUACUAUAAAUAUCUAUUGCGAGCAUUUAUGCAUACGAGUCGUGAUACGAGUGGGUGACAAUUUUAGAGGUUAUAUAAUUGAAAUAUAUUAAAAUUUCCACACUUAUUUUAUUAAUUUUUGAAUUCCCAUAUUACUAAUAUAAUCAUACUUAAAUGUUAUUAUUGCAUGCAUGAUUAAGUCCAAAUGAAUGAAGAGAUGUGUUCGAAUUCAACAAUCACUUCAGUCACUCCCAAUAAAUUAAAUGUAAACAUAUGAAUUUUUUUCAGACUGAUGUAAUUGGUGUUGAUAUACACUUUUCAACAACAAAGAUUUCAAAGAAGUUGAACCACAUUUAUACAAUAAGACAUCUCCAAAUCUAUGUAAAAAUCAUUAAUGAUAAAUUAUCAAUCUCUAUUGAUGCGUGAGUCAAGAUUAUAUCUUGAAUUAUUUUGGGUGCUUUUAUAUAUUUGUUUGGUUUGGAAUAUGUUUGCUUAAUAUACUUAUUUUUUUAUGUUAAUUAAUUUUAUUCAUUUUAAGUGAAAUUUGAUGUAGUUCUGUCUGGCGUUAUAUGUUAUAAAUUUCAGAUGCCACUUAUAAGUGUACCAAUUAUCGUAUGUGAAAAUGAAAGAGAAUCCAAGUGAUGUUGCACUAGAAUCUGAACAGCGGACGGAAAUGCCAUGUUGAUUGGCACUCCUCAAUUAUACUCUAUCCGUCCCAUUAUAUCUGAGGCUCUUUCUAUUUUGGGC
rnacentral:lncRNA from 1 species